UUGGAGGGCAAGUCUGGUGCCUGCAGCCGCGGUAAUUCCAGCUCCAAUAGCGUAUAUUAAAGUUGUUGCAGUUAAGAAGCUCGUAGUUGAAUUUCGGGGUCAAUAAGUUGGUCGUGCCAAUGGUAUGUACUGGCUUUAUUGAUUCCUACCUCUUGACGAACUGUGAUGCCAUUAAUUUGGUGUUGCAGGAAAUCAGGACUGUUACCUUGAAAAAAUUAGAGUGUUUAAAGCAGGCUUACGCUUGAAUACAUAGCAUGGAAUAAUGAAAUAGGACGUUUGAACCUAUUUUGUUGGUUUCUAGGAUCGACGUAAUGAUUAAUAGGGAUAGUUGGGGGCAUUAGUAUUCAAUUGUCAGAGGUGAAAUUCUCGGAUUUAUUGAAGACUAACUACUGCGAAAGCAUUUGCCAAGGAUGUUUUCAUUAAUCAAGAACGAAAGUUAGGGGAUCGAAGACGAUCAGAUACCGUCGUAGUCUUAACCAUAAACUAUGCCGACUAGGGAUCGGAUGAUGUUAAUUUUUUAAUGACUCAUUCGGCGCCUUACGGGAAACCAAAGUGUUUGGGUUC
rnacentral:rRNA from 1 species